rnacentral:rRNA from 1 species
GAUGAACGCUGGCGGCGUGCCUAAUACAUGCAAGUCGAGCGAACAGAUGAGGAGCUUGCUCCUCUGACGUUAGCGGCGGACGGGUGAGUAACACGUGGAUAACCUACCUAUAAGACUGGGAUAACUUCGGGAAACCGGAGCUAAUACCGGAUAAUAUAUUGAACCGCAUGGUUCAAUAGUGAAAGACGGUUUUGCUGUCACUUAUAGAUGGAUCCGCGCCGCAUUAGCUAGUUGGUAAGGUAACGGCUUACCAAGGCAACGAUGCGUAGCCGACCUGAGAGGGUGAUCGGCCACACUGGAACUGAGACACGGUCCAGACUCCUACGGGAGGCAGCAGUAGGGAAUCUUCCGCAAAGGGCGAAAGCCUGACGGAGCAACGCCGCGUGAGUGAUGAAGGUCCUCGGAUCGUAAAACUCUGUUAUUGGGGAAGAACAAAUGUGUAAGUAACUAUGCACGUCUUGACGGUACCUAAUCAGAAAGCCACGGCUAACUACGUG